rnacentral:RNase_P_RNA from 1 species
UCAGGUGGUUGGAUGGUCGCUUCUUUUUAUAAAGAAGAGGAAAGUCCGGGCUCCAUAGAAACGCGGUGCCGGGUAAUGCCCGGCGAGGGUGACCUUAGGGAAAGUGCCACAGAAAGCAAACCGCCUUGCAUGCAAGGUAAGGGUGAAAGGGUGCGGUAAGAGCGCACCGCAAGCACAGCAAUGUGGUUGGCAUGGUAAACCCCACCGGGAGCAAGACCAAGUAGGGAUGAUAGGCAAAUGCCAAGCUUGUUUCUAAGCUGUCAUUCGGGUCGGUCGCUUGAGAAUGUCAGCAAUGACAUUCCUAGAUGAAUGGCCAUCACGGUUCCCACAAGAUCCGUACAGAACCCGGCUUAUAAACCACCUGACAAC